CCAAAUUUUAAUCAGUUCUUCCUUAGCCGAUGGGAAAUGCACUCACAAAAUUUCGUACGGAUAUGUUUGGUAUUUCUUGAGUUAUCGUGCUCACAGACAAACACACACACACACACACACACACACACACACACACACACACACACACACACACACACACACACACACACACACAUACAAACCCAGAUGAUUACAUAACCUCCUGGCGGAGGUAAACAU